rnacentral:lncRNA from 1 species
CCAGGUUACUGGUCUUGGGAUUUGUGUGCAAGUCGUAAAAAAUAAGCUAGCACCUUCUAUGACAAAAGCUGAGUUAAAUAUGCAAUUUGGAAGAGGCUUCUGCUGUGAAUUGGAGGCCUUUGAGUUGGCCUGUGAACAUGGUAUCCUUUCGACAGACGGAAGCUGCUAUUUCAUAAAUGGGAAAGUUUUGAACAAUAAAGAGGACGCUAUAAGUUAUCUGGCUGCAAAUAAAGGGGCCUUGGAUGAUAUUAUCAGAACUUUAAGACACCAGUUGUUCGAAAGAGAGAAAUAGUCUAGGAUAUAUUGAUUAGACGAUCAGCCUGCUUCUUGCAACAUUGACUCGCCCAAAAGGUCUCUGUGUAUACUGUAGGUCGACACUGUAUUGCAACUGAACGUUUCACCAUUUAAUUGUUGAGAGUUUCCAUUUGGUCAUCUAGUUGGUGCGAGGACUUGUGACAUUCAACUUCUUCAUCAUGUAUUGUAACAAUUCUUUUAAUCUUAAAAUUCAGC